rnacentral:rRNA from 1 species
UGGCGGCGUGCCUAAUACAUGCAAGUCGAGCGAAGAGAUGGGAGCUUGCUCCCAGAUCUUAGCGGCGGACGGGUGAGUAACACGUGGGCAACCUGCCCUGCAGACUGGGAUAACUCCGGGAAACCGGAGCUAAUACCGGGUAAUACAUCGCACCGCAUGGUGCAAUGUUGAAAGUUGGCUUUCUGAGCUAACACUGCAGGAUGGGCCCGCGGCGCAUUAGCUAGUUGGUAAGGUAAUGGCUUACCAAGGCAACGAUGCGUAGCCGACCUGAGAGGGUGAUCGGCCACACUGGGACUGAGACACGGCCCAGACUCCUACGGGAGGCAGCAGUAGGGAAUCUUCCGCAAUGGACGAAAGUCUGACGGAGCAACGCCGCGUGAGUGACGAAGGCCUUCGGGUCGUAAAGCUCUGUUGUUAGGGAAGAACAAGUACCGUUCGAAUAGGGCGGUACCUUGACGGUACCUAACCAGAAAGCCACGGCUAACUA